AUUGAACGCUGGCGGCAUGCUUUACACAUGCAAGUCGAACGGCAGCGCGGGGCAGCCUGGCGGCGAGUGGCGAACGGGUGAGUAAUAUAUCGGAACGUACCCAAGAGUGGGGGAUAACGUAGCGAAAGUUACGCUAAUACCGCAUACGAUCUAAGGAUGAAAGCAGGGGACCGCAAGGCCUUGUGCUCCUGGAGCGGCCGAUAUCUGAUUAGCUAGUUGGUGAGGUAAAGGCUCACCAAGGCGACGAUCAGUAGCUGGUCUGAGAGGACGACCAGCCACACUGGAACUGAGACACGGUCCAGACUCCUACGGGAGGCAGCAGUGGGGAAUUUUGGACAAUGGGCGCAAGCCUGAUCCAGCAAUGCCGCGUGAGUGAAGAAGGCCUUUGGGUUGUAAAGCUCUUUUGUCAGGGAAGAAACGGUGCGGGCUAAUAUCCCGCGCUAAUGACGGUACCUGAAGAAUAAGCACCG
rnacentral:rRNA from 1 species